AAAAAGGGUUUUUGCCUCUUAUGGCACAUGAGCUGCCAGUCAUUGGUUGCUUGUGCGGAAUCGCCAGCAAGAGAUUUCGGAAACAUAAUAUUUGGAAACUGUGGCUGUCGGUUGUCAUUUGCACUGGCGCCCUA